AAAAGGGGAAAGGGAGAGGGGAAAAGGGGGAGGGGGACAGCGCCGCCGAAGAGGGAGCUUUCUGCUUGAGCUUCAGCUUCUAUUUCUGUGACUGCUGUGUUGCCGGGAAGGAGAGCCCGACGUGAGGAGGGCGGCGUGCGAAGGAGAGAGAGAGAUUUGAGGCUGAGCUGGGCUCCUACCACCACCGAUCUGCCCAACCGCCGUUGCUCCGUCGCCCACGAGUUGCCGGUGGUUUUGCUUCAGCUUCUGCAUCUGAGGUCCUGGUGCUCGUUGAUGUUGUUAUUCUUGGUGGUGGAGGUGCUGGUGGUGGUGGAGGUAAAGGUGUUGCUAUUGGUGGAGGGUAUUUUUGUCCAAAAAAAAGUUAAAAGGACGAUUUUAAUACGAAAAAAAAAACGUUAAGGAUGAUUCUAAAUAAAAAAAGACGUUGGGAACGGUUUCAAUUCUGACCCUCAACAUUAGGGACCAAAACAAUACUUACUCCUAAAAAUUACAAAUUAAUUAUUUUUAAUAUGGAAAAAUAUAUAUAGACAAUGAGAAUACUAAACAGUAAACAAUGUGAAUAAUGGAUAUGUCGAAUGUUCAAUUCAAUAGAUAUGCAGAUAAUUAUGUUCAUUAUUUUUAAUUAGAUGGUUAUUCAUUUUGAUUCGGUUUACUCAUGCAUAGUUAAUAAUGGGUGGAUGUUCAAUUCAUUAAGUGUGCAGAUGGUUAUCCUACUGUUAGGAUUUAGGGGAUAAUUUGAGAGUGGAGUAUUUUUCUUUACUUUAUUGGGCUAAUUUUAGAACCCAUUGUUCCCAUUAUUUACAAAAAUCAUUGUCUAUCUAACAAAACCCUUUUAAUAUUCUAUCACUCUAUUAACAGUUUUCGUCAACUACUAACAAUAUAAAAUGUUAACUAAUAAUAUACACUUGUCGGAAUAAAGAAAAGACAAAAAUAAUUAAUUUAUAAUUUUUAAAAGACUAAUUUAAUUUAUAUAAUCUUUUAGAAACAAAUUUAAAUAAUGACCUAUGUUUUUUAUGAGCGAAUUUAACCAUUAAUCCUAUUUUUAUAUUAUGUAAACAUUAUUUUUUAAAUUUAAAUGCUAUAAUAUGGUUUAUUGCAAUGACUACAUGCAAUAUGAUGCCUAAUGACCCGAGUGUUUCUCUAUGUGUUGCUUAUACCAAAGAGCAACCUUUCAAUUAAAGCAAAAUUCAAGUUGUGCACACAAAAACAUAGGCAUCAUCGCAAGUGUAUGUUGACCCUUCUUGGAAGUGAAGCAGCUGAUGAAUAUAGUAAAAAUAAUAAUAAUAAUAAUAAUAAUAAUCAAUAAUUCUUGGUUCAUGGACAGAGUGGUAAGUAAUAAGUAAGUAGGACACAACUAACAGGAGAAGCAGAAGUUGAAGUGAUUUCCAAGAAAAUGUCCUUCAUCUUUCAACAUGAUUAAAGUUUUCAUUUUUCACUGCCAUGCCCAGCCGUAUAUUUAUUAGGUGGAUCCAUUUCAUAUUCCAUGUAUAUAAUUCCAAGUUUCUUCACAAAUAAAAACAAAAACGUUUCCCUUUAUUUUAA